GCCCGGUUAGCUCAAUCGGUAGAGCGUCAGACUCUUAACAACGGGAUUUCAUCCCAGUUGCCAUCUGAAGGCUGCGGGUUCGACCCCCGCAUCGGGCU
rnacentral:tRNA from 1 species